GAAAGCCUUAAAUUGACAGUCGUGCUUCUGUGACAAGGUAGAAUGAAAAUUUUCAUCAUUCAGAAUACGCUACAAACGAAAAUGAGUAUCGUAAAACUAGGUAACAAAGUAUGAAACUACGGAACGAAGACAAUUUUUCAGACGCAAAGUCAAUUGGAGCUCUAAAAUUUACAUAAAACUGAAUAUGGUUCCUGGGGAAAUGAGAAUUC
rnacentral:misc_RNA from 1 species